rnacentral:rRNA from 1 species
GUCCACACCGUAAACGAUGUAUACUUGAUGUAAAUCGGCUCAACCCGGUUUGUAUCGUAGCUAACGCGAUAAGUAUACCGCCUGGGAAGUACACUCGCAAGGGUGAAACUCAAAAGAAUUGACGGGGGCUCGCACAAGCGGUGGAGCAUGUGGUUUAAUUCGAUGGUACGCGAAGAACCUUACCUAGACUUGACAUACAGUGGACAGGUGCAGAAAUGCACUCUUCCGAAAGGACUGCUGAACAGGUGCUGCAUGGCUGUCGU